rnacentral:tRNA from 1 species
GGAGAGGUGGCCGAGUGGCUUAAGGCGCCCGCUUGGAAAGCGUGUUGGCAGCAAUGUCACGCAGGUUCGAAUCCUGUCCUCUCCACCA